rnacentral:rRNA from 1 species
UGGGGAAUAUUGCACAAUGGGCGCAAGCCUGAUGCAGCCAUGCCGCGUGUGUGAAGAAGGCCUUCGGGUUGUAAAGCACUUUCAGCGAGGAGGAAGGUGGUGAGCUUAAUACGCUCAUCAAUUGACGUUACUCGCAGAAGAAGCACCGGCUAACUCCGUGCCAGCAGCCGCGGUAAUACGGAGGGUGCAAGCGUUAAUCGGAAUUACUGGGCGUAAAGCGCACGCAGGCGGUUUGUUAAGUCAGNUGUGAAAUCCCCGGGCUCAACCUGGGAACUGCAUUUGAAACUGGCAAGCUAGAGUCUCGUAGAGGGGGGUAGAAUUCCAGGUGUAGCGGUGAAAUGCGUAGAGAUCUGGAGGAAUACCGGUGGCGAAGGCGGCCCCCCUGGACGAAGACUGACGCUCAGGUGCGAAAGCGUGGGGCAGCAAACAGGAUUAGAUACCCUGGUAGUCCACGCUGUAAACGAUGUCGAUUUGGAGGUUGUGCCC